CAUGGCUGCUAGAUGGGCCAUGUGAUCAGAGGAGAGGACUGAGCAGCCUCCAUUUUAGCUCAGGCAUCAGGGCUGAGCCAGUAGUUUGCUGCUGGCAGCUGAAACAACUCCUGGCUGAGCUGGUGCUCGAAGCACUUUGGAGGUUCCUGGACAUCUGUGGCUUCUUCUGGUUUGGCAGGGGUCCUGCUUCAGGACUGAUCCCCAGCUCUACUGCUGCAGAACUUGGAAUUGAACGGAGGAUUGGAGAAUAAUUGGAAUUGAACCCAGGGAUUCCAUAAUAAACAUGGUGAAAGACUGGGGAGCUGAGCACACGGGCCAGAUUGAAUCUCCCACAAUGCAACUCUGAACGUAUGGGUCUGUGCGUUCCAUUGCGUCUGUGCAGUCCAAGCAGAAGCCAGGGAGUAUGAACAACUAGCAAUAAAGUGGAACCCAAGAGGCUACUAAGAUUCAGACAUAUCCAACCAUGUCCUCAAAUCCCAUAAAUGGAUUCCUGUUCUCUGUUCCUCCUCAGCCAUGCCAGCUCGAGACAAGUUGGGCCAAUCUGCUACAGUCUGUUGCUCUCUGAACUACACAAGGUCCCUCAAUUCCAGGGAGUCCAAAAAACAGCUGUGACUUUCCUAUCUGCAGAACAGCUCUGUUUGCUUUGCUGAAACCAUGCUGCAUGUUUGAAAUGUAACAAACUUUCACUGCCCAAAAACUUUCUUUCCCUUUGGAAAAGAAUUUGUGUAAGAACAAUUACUGCAAAACAUAACAUUUGUGAUCAAGUGCCAGUGACUUCCAUGCAAGCAUGAUCCUUAUCUUGAACUUCCAAGAUCCAUGAUCUUCAGUAGUGUAACUAAGGCAGGAUGACUGGAGCAGCAGCCCCAGAUGCUGAUGUAGAAGGAGUUAGGAGUAGAAAAAUAACAACUGCCACUAAAGCUGCACAUCUGCACAGGCAGCACCAGCAGCCAGAAAAUGCCACUACCAUCAUGCAUCACCACUGCCCCAGGCACCCAGCUGCUCUGUUAUGCCUCUGCUGUUCUUAUUAGGAAAGAUAGGAGGAAAAUGCCAAAUAUCAUGGCAAAUAAGUACCAGUGAGGAGAUGAAGAAGAACAAUCUAACAGAAGGAAAAGAGAAAAAAAAAAACCCCUACAAUGUGAGAAGCUAAAUCAGAAGCUUUUCUGACUGUGUGAAGUUGUUUUGUUGUCUUAGAUGUAUUGAAAAUAGAAUUAGGUAUUUUUUUCAAUGGACAGUAAUGUUAACUUGGGAAGGUACUAAAGCUAUUCACAAAUUGGGAUUGAAUUGAGAGAAUAGUUUUGGCCCAAAACUAGGGGAAAUGUUUCAUUUAGGAAAUUCAGACAUGUUUUAUUCCAACAUUUUCCAAAUUAAAUUGUUCAACUUUUGGUUUUGAAAUUACUGUAAAAAAAGUAAUUGACCAAAAUUUAAAAGUGGUUAAAAAGGCUAAAUAAUCUGA